rnacentral:lncRNA from 1 species
GGGGGGUGGGGGGUUUCCUAUUUUUGGGAGGAAUUCUCUUUUUUGGAGAGGAAUUCCCAUUUUUUUGCGGGGAAAUUCCCAUUUUUUGGGGUGAUUCCCAUUUCUUGGUGUGAUUCCCAUUUUUUGGGGGGAAAUUCCCGUUUUUGGGGUGGGGAAUUCCCAUUUUUGGGGUCUCCACAGUUUUUGGGGUUCCAGAUUUUCCCUGGCUUUGAGGAUUCUCUCUGGUUUUUAUGGGGUUUCCGUGUUUUGGGAGAAUUUUCCCUGGUUUUUAUGGGGUUUCCCUGGUUUUUAUGGGGUUUCCCUGGAUUUUAUAGGAUUUCCCUGUUUUUUAUGGGGUUUCUCCGUUUUUUACAGGAUUUCUCUCUUUUGGGGGGAAUUUUCUCUGUUUUUGGGGGAUUUCCCCUGCUUUUUAUGGGGUUUCUCUGUUUUGGGGGGAUUUUCCCUGUUUUUGAUGGGGUUUCUCUGGUUUUUAUGGGGUUUCCCUGUUUUUUAUGGGGUUUCCCUGUUUUUUAUGGGGUUUCUCUGUUUUGGGGGGAUUUUCCCUAUUUUUUAUGGGGUUUCCCUGUUUUUCAUGGGAUUUCUCUGGUUUUUUAUGGGGUUUCUCUGUUUUUUACAGGAUUUCUCUCUUUUGGGGGGAAUUUUCUCUGUUUUUGGGGGAUUUCCCCUGCUUUUUAUGGGGUUUCCCUGUUUUGGGGGAUUUUCCCUGGUUUUUAUGGGGUUUCUCUGUUUUUAUGGGGUUUCUCUGGUUUUUAUGGGGUUUCUCUCUUUUGGGGGGAAUUUUCUCUGUUUUGGGGGGAUUUUCCCUGUUUUUUAUGGGGUUUCCCUGUUUUGGGAGGAUUUUCCCUGUUUUUUAUGGGGUUUCCCUGUUUUGGGAGAAUUUUCCCUGGUUUUUAUGGGGUUUCCCUGUUUUGGGAGAAUUUUCCCUGUUUUUUAUGGGGUUUCUCUGUUUUUUAUGGGUUUUCCCUGGUUUUUAUGGGGUUUCCCUGGUUUUCAUGGGGUUUCUCUCUUUUGGGGGGAAUUUUCUCUGUUUUUUGGGGAAUUUUCCCUGCUUUUUGAUGGGGUUUGGGGACAUCGAGAUUGACACAAGGGUGGGGACAUGGGGACAGGGGGACACCGGGAUUUGGGGACAUCGGGAUUGGCAGCGGGAUGGGGACAGGGACACAGAUGGGGACAAGGACAGGGAUGGGGACAGGGAUGGGGACAUCGGGAUUGGCACCAGGAUGGGGACAGGGAAAAGGGGACGGGGACAAGGACAGGGAUGGGGACACGGGGACAUGAGGAUGGCGACAAGGACACGGGGACAGGGACAAGGACAUGGGGACUUUNGGUUGGGGACAUCGGGAUUGACCCGGGGACAUUGGGAUCGGCACCAGGAUGGGGACAGGGACACGGAUGGGGACAAGGACACGGGGACAGGGACAGGAAUGGGGACAGGGAAAAGGGGAUGGGGACAAGGACAGGGAUAUGGGGACAGGGACCUCGGGGCCUGGCAGUGCCACUGGCACAGGGACAAGGACACGGGGACACCGGGAUUUGGGACACCGGGACUGGGACACCGGGAUUGACUCGGGGACAUCGGGACGGGGACACGGGCGCAGGGAUGCAGACAGGGACAGGGAUUUGGGGACAUCGGGAUUUGGGGACAUCGGGGUUUGGGGACAUCGGGGUUUGGGGACAUCAGGAAUCUGGGGCCUGGUGGCAUCACUGGCGCGGGGCCAAGGCCGCAGGGACACGCGUGACACGCUCGGGGACACGCGCAGAGGACACGCGUGACACGCUCAGGUACGCGUGACACGCUCGGGGACACGCAGGGGACACGCGUGUGCAGCCCCGGGUGACGCAGCAGCCGCCUCGCGGCCGGGCCGGGGGGGCCUGGCAGCCCCGGGUGUCCCCUGGGUGUCCCUUGGGUGUCCCCUGGGUGUCCCUUGGGUGUCCCUGGCACACCUGGCACACCUGGCACACCUGGCACACCUGGCACACCCCCCGUGUCCCUUGCACGCCCCCCCGGCUCCUUCCAGCACCUUCCCCGCCCCUGCCCGGCCCUUGCACGCCCCUGCGGCACCGCAGCGGCGCCUUGCACACUCACCCACCCUGAGCCUUGCACACCCAUCCCUGAGCCUUGCACACCCACCCUGAGCCUUGCACACCCACCCUGAGCCUUGCACGCUCAUCCCUGAGCCUUGCACACUCACCCACCCUGAGCCUUGCACACCCACCCAGACCACUCCACGCUCAUCCUUGAGCCUUGCACGCUCACCCACCCUGAGCCUUGCACACCCACCCUGAGCCUUGCACACCCACCCUGAGCCUUCCACGCCCAUCUCUGAGCCUUGCACACCCACCCAGACCCUUCCACACUCAUCCCUGAGCCUUGCACACGCACCCUGAGCCUUGCACACCCACCCCUGAGCCUUGCACGCUCAUCUCAGACCCUUGCACACCCACCCCUGAGCCUUGCACGCCCACCCGGACCCUUUGCACACUCACCCAGACCCUCACACACCCACCCAGACCCUGCCACGCUCACCUCGGACCCUUGCACGCCCACCUGGACCCCCGCGCGCU